rnacentral:rRNA from 1 species
AACGAACGCUGGCGGCAUGCCUAACACAUGCGAGUCGAACGAGACCUUCGGGUCUAGUGGCGCACGGGUGCCUAACGCGUGGGAAUCUGCCCUUGGGUUCGGAAUAACAGUUGGAAACGACUGCUAAUACCGGAUGAUGACGUAAGUCCAAAGAUUUAUCGCCCAAGGAUGAGCCCGCGUAGGAUUAGCUAGUUGGUGAGGUAAAGGCUCACCAAGGCGACGAUCCUUAGCUGGUCUGAGAGGAUGAUCAGCCACACUGGGACUGAGACACGGCCCAGACUCCUACGGGAGGCAGCAGUGGGGAAUAUUGGACAAUGGGCGAAAGCCUGAUCCAGCAAUGCCGCGUGAGUGAUGAAGGCCUUAGGGUUGUAAAGCUCUUUUACCCGGGAUGAUAAUGACAGUACCGGGAGAAUAAGCUCCGGCUAACUCCGUG